rnacentral:rRNA from 1 species
GGCGACCGGCGCACGGGUGAGUAACACGUAUCCAACCUGCCGCUUACUCGGGGAUAGCCUUUCGAAAGAAAGAUUAAUACCCGAUGGUAUAAAGAGUUCGCAUGUUCUCUUUAUUAAAGAAUUUUCGGUAAGCGAUGGGGAUGCGUUCCAUUAGAUAGUUGCGGGGUAACGGCCCACCAAGUCUACGAUGGAUAGGGGUUCUGAGAGGAAGGUCCCCCACAUUGGAACUGAGACACGGUCCAAACUCCUACGGGAGGCAGCAGUGAGGAAUAUUGGUCAAUGGACGAGAGUCUGAACCAGCCAAGUUAAGGCGUGAAGGAUGACUGCCCUAUGGGUUGUAAACUUCUUUUAUAAGGAAUAAAGUGAGGGACGUGUUCCCUUUUUGUAUGUACCUUAUGAAUAAGGAUCGGCUAACUCCGUGCCAGCCGCCGC